rnacentral:rRNA from 1 species
GACGAACGCUGGCGGCGUGCUUAACACAUGCAAGUCGAACGGAAAGGCCCUGCUUUUGUGGGGUGCUCGAGUGGCGGACGGGUGAGUAACACGUGAGUAACCUGCCCUUGACUUUGGGAUAACUUCAGGAAACUGGGGCUAAUACCGGAUAGGAGCUCCUGCUGCAUGGUGGGGGUUGGAAAGUUUCGGCGGUUGGGGAUGGACUCGCGGCUUAUCAGCUUGUUGGUGAGGUAGUGGCUUACCAAGGCUUUGACGGGUAGCCGGCCUGAGAGGGUGACCGGCCACAUUGGGACUGAGAUACGGCCCAGACUCCUACGGGAGGCAGCAGUGGGGAAUAUUGCACAAUGGGCGGAAGCCUGAUGCAGCAACGCCGCGUGCGGGAUGACGGCCUUCGGGUUGUAAACCGCUUUCGCCUGUGACGAAGCGUGAGUGACGGUAAUGGGUAAAGAAGCACCGGCUAACUACGUG